AAUCAGGUAGGACUACCCGCUGAACUUAAGCAUAUCAAUAAGCGGAGGAAAAGAAACUAACAAGGAUUCCCCUAGUAACUGCGAGUGAAGCGGGAAAAGCUCAAAUUUAAAAUCUGACGGUCUUUAUGGCCUUCCGAGUUGUAAUCUAGAGAAGUGCUAUCCGCGCUGGACCGUGUACAAGUCUCCUGGAACGGAGCGUCAUAGAGGGUGAGAAUCCCGUCUUUGCCACGGACUACCAGGGCUUAUGUGAUGCGCUCUCAAAGAGUCGAGUUGUUUGGGAAUGCAGCUCUAAAUGGGUGGUAAAUUCCAUCUAAAGCUAAAUAUUGGCGAGAGACCGAUAGCGAACAAGUACCGUGAGGGAAAGAUGAAAAGAACUUUGGAAAGAGAGUUAAACAGUACGUGAAAUUGUUGAAAGGGAAACGCUUGAAGUCAGUCGCGUUGACCAGGAAUCAGCCUUGCUUUUGCUUGGCGCACUUUCUGGUUAAUGGGUCAGCAUCAAUUUUGGUCGGUGGAUAAAGGUCAGGAGAAGGUGGCAUCUUCGGAUGUGUUUAUAGCUCUUGGUUGCAUACAUCGAUUGGGAUUGAGGAACUCAGCACGCCGCAAGGCCGGGUGUUUACACCACGUUACGUGCUUAGGAUGUUGGCAUAAUGGCUUUAAUCGACCCGUCUG
rnacentral:rRNA from 1 species